UGGGGAAUAUUGGACAAUGGGGGGAACCCUGAUCCAGCCAUGCCGCGUGUGUGAAGAAGGCCUUAUGGUUGUAAAGCACUUUAAGCGAGGAGGAGGGUACUGGUAUUAAUACUACCAGGUACUGGACGUUACUCGCAGAAUAAGCACCGGCUAACUCUGUGCCAGCAGCCGCGGUAAUACAGAGGGUGCGAGCGUUAAUCGGAUUUACUGGGCGUAAAGCGUGCGUAGGCGGCUAAUUGAGUCGGAUGUGAAAUCCCCGAGCUUAACUUGGGAAUUGCAUUCGAUACCGGUUAGCUAGAGUGUGGGAGAGGAUGGUAGAAUUCCAGGUGUAGCGGUGAAAUGCGUAGAGAUCUGGAGGAAUACCGAUGGCGAAGGCAGCCAUCUGGCCUAACACUGACGCUGAGGUACGAAAGCAUGGGGAGCAAACAGG
rnacentral:rRNA from 1 species